UGCAGAACCACAUGAGGUACAGCUGACAGAUUAAUGCAGUCUAGGAUUUAGGAGAUACAAUCCCGUCGCUAAUCAUGGUCGUUUAGAGUCUCUUCAGGAAUUAGGCAAAGGGACGGUGAAAGGCUUUGUGGCCGUACAAAGAUGUAUGUUCACCUGAAAUACUACACAGAAAAAAAGGUGCCAUACAAGAUCCCAUCAUCAGUAGGACUUGUUAAAUUCGGAUAGCAGCGUCGAGCGUGCUACGCAAAAUAUUAGAAAGAAUA